rnacentral:rRNA from 1 species
CAGGAGAUAACUUCCAGACUUGCACCCGGACAAACACCGCAAGACUGUCCUAACCUGGUGGCCAGAGUAUGCAGGGCCAAGAUGCGGAGUCUGAAAGAUCUUAUGGUAAAAAAGAAGUACUUUGGUCCGGUUGCGGCGUAUGCUCAUGUUACCGAGUUCCAAAAAAGGGGUCUACCGCAUGAGCACUUCCUGCUGAUCAUGGCCUCAGAUAGUAAGCUGACAAAUCCAGACGCCUAUGAUAGGGUAAUCUCGAUAGAGAUCCCUAGCCAUGACAAGUACCCUGUGUUGCAUGGACUGCUUAUCAAGCAUAUACUCCACGGCCCAUGUGGUACUCUCCAGAAGAAUUGUCCUUGCAUGAUAGAUGGAAAUUUUCGUUUUCGUUACCCUCGAUAG